rnacentral:rRNA from 1 species
CAGUCGCCGCGGGAAUACGUAGGUGGCAAGCGUUGUCCGGAAUUAUUGGGCGUAAAGGGCGCGUAGGCGGCGAUCAAAGUCAGGCGUGAAAUUCCUGGGCUCAACCUGGGGGCUGCGCUUGAUACUUGGUUGCUUGAGUGGGGAAGAGGGUCGUGGAAUUCCCAGUGUAGAGGUGAAAUUCGUAGAUAUUGGGAAGAACACCGGUGGCGAAGGCGGCGACCUGGUCCUUUACUGACGCUGAGGCGCGAAAGCGUGGGGAGCAAACAGGAUUAGAUACCCCGGUAGUCCCUGUCUCUUAUAC